rnacentral:rRNA from 1 species
UACGUAGGGUGCAAGCGUUGUCCGGAAUUAUUGGGCGUAAAGAGCUCGUAGGCGGUUUGUCGCGUCUGCUGUGAAACUCGGGGCUUAACCCCGAGCCUGCAGUGGAUACGGGCAGACUAGAGGUAGGUAGGGGAGAAUGGAAUUCCCGGUGUAGCGGUGAAAUGCGCAGAUAUCGGGAGGAACACCGGUGGCGAAGGCGGUUCUCUGGGCCUUACCUGACGCUGAGGAGCGAAAGCGUGGGGAGCGAACAGG